CAGUCCGUCGGCCAGGCAGAGCGUAGCCGCUGAAAGACCUAAUCCAGCGCCCCCCUGCCCCCCAUCCCCGUCCGGCCAUCCCCAUCCCCAUCCGGCCAUCCCGCCGGGGUCGUCCGCCGGACCGCCGCUCCUUGCCUCCUUCCACCGAGAAGGCGAGAAGAGUCGCCGCUCUGCUCCCCUUCGAGCGCUCCUUGCCUGGCUGGUGGAUCUCCAGCCACCACGAGCCGCUGCCCGCCGGUCGCCGGACGUCCGAACUGCGUAGCCCGGCGGAGAUGAGGAGCUGCUGCCCAAGCUUCUGAAUGGCUCAAUCCCUGCUGAAUUCCUAGUUCGUGACGCCCUUUGGUCUUUGGAACCAAAGAUGAAGAUGAAUGGUGACAUUCAGUCCUUUUUUCGGAAUUAUGAGGCUGCUAAAAGAAAGAAGGUUGCAGCCGAAGAGCAACCUGAAGAUACAGUGUCAAAUAUUGAAGAUGAAGCAGUCCAUAAUCCACCUCCAGUCCAUUCUGCAGAGAUUGAAUUUGAUAUUGAAGAUGAAGCAGUCCAUUCCGAUGCAGAGACUGAAAGUGAUUGUGAAGAUGAAGCAGUCCAUUCUCCGUGUGCAAGGCCAUAUAAUAUUCAAAGGCUUCCUCCUGAUCCAGGGGAGAGGAUUCCUAUUUCAGAGUUUGAUGAGGUUAAUACGGAGUUGCUUAUUUGCAUGUCGGCUUUGAAUCCCCUCAAUUCAUUUGCUUCUUAUGAUGCACUUAAGGUAAUGAGACUUGCUGAAUUCUAUCCCAUGGACAUUUCAAGCACAUAUUUGAUAAGGCUAGAAUUUCAACUUACUAAUUUUAUUGAUGAUAUGAGACAAGAUGAUAGGUUUAGAAAUGCAAGUAAUAUUGGUGAGCUCUCUAUUAUGCUUGUUGCAACAAAGAAGUAUGUUCUUUAUGACUUGGUCUACUUACUCAUCAAAUUGAUAUUGAUUUUACCGGUGGCGACGGCAAGUGUUCAAAGAGUAUUUUCAGCAAUGAAUCUAGUGAAAAAUAAGUUGAGGACUACUAUGGGUGAUGAUCGCUUGAAUGAUUGCUUGGUGACAUUUAUUGAAUGGGAUGUGUUCAUGGAAGUAAGCGAAGAUGACAUAGUUGAUGCUUUCAUGGCAAUGCAAAAACGUAGAGUUACCUAGUGAUGUAGCAACUAGGAAGUGGCAUGGCAUCUGGGAGCGCCACAGCUGGUAGCCAAUCGUCCGUGGGUGAGAGUGAAGGCCGUCUUGGUCCUGGUGCUGUAGAUCCAAGGUAUCCUCUGUGGGCUUAUGUGCAGAAGCUUGUACUAGAAGAAGCAAAUGGUGAUGGUGCAGCUGUUGCCUCUGGUAGCCGUGGAGGAAACGCCAAGUUCCGCUGCAAUUUCUGCAAGAAAAUUUACCCAGGCAGCUAUUCAAGAGUGAAGCCUCAUCUUCUUCAGAUAACAAAGAAAGAUGUAGCUACAUGUGACAAAAUACCACAUGCUGCCUUUGAGCAACUUUGCAAGGAAGAUAGAGCAGCUGCUCAACUCCUUCAAAAUGGUCCAACCAGGCAUACAAUUCCUUUACCCCCCCUAUGAUGCAUCUGCUCCAACAAGAAAGCGAAAGCAAACAGCUAUUGCAGAGAGUUUUAAUGCUGAAGUCCGGCAACAAGCUGAUGCUCAUAUUGCUAGGAUGUUUUACACUGCAGGGCUUCCAUUCAAUCUUGCAAGGAACCCUGACUUUAGGGCAGCCAUGACCUUCAUUGCAAACAACAACUUGGGUGGGUGAGGGAGUCCUGGACUAGGGGGUGUUCGGACAGCCGGACUAUCAUCGUCGGCCGGACUCCAAGAUUAUGAAGAUACAAGAUUGAAGACUUC